GUCAGGCGGGGGCUCUGUCCGUACGCCAGCCCCGUCGGGUGUCGGUCGGGCAAGCCGGUUGGAGGGAGCGGGUGUGCCGGCGGCGUCGCCUGCCGUCUUACUUGGGCGAGCGACUUAACGAGGCUGGCCGGGUGCGGGCAUUGCAGGUGCCCUGCUCGGUGGGGUCUUGGGUGACUUGGCAGCCGAGGUCCCGGCAGCCGGGCCAGCGAAGAGUUCUCGGCACCUCCUCCGUCGAUGCGGCUCUGUCUGUGCAGAGCGAGGGGCCCGGCCGUAUGGAGCGUGCCGGCCCUGGCCCCGUAGCCCCUCGCAGGUGAGCUUUGGGGCUCGCGAUGAGCCCCAAAUGCCGGUUGGGCAUGGGCCACGGUGGAGCAGAUACCCACUUGCAGCCCGGACCCCACGCCGGAGCAGGCGGGUGCCCAAAGGAGGCUGUGACCCCGUGGGA